rnacentral:SRP_RNA from 1 species
GGUCGGGCCUUGCACGGAUUCUCUUUGUGAACCCCGUCAGGUCCGGAAGGAAGCAGCGGCAGCGAGGUAGGAUCGCGUUGCAAAUCAGUCCGGCUCAG